AUGUCGGAAAGCUGUUUGAAUGCCCAGCGAGGAGGGAGGCGCGAGAGGGAGCGAGAUAGUAAAGCUCUGUCUCGNNNNNNNNNNNNNNNNNNNNCCCGCGUGCUCGUGUGCGCGCGCGUCCCGGGUGCCGCGCGCCCCUCUUAUGCACAGCUGCGGUGCGCCCCGCCGCCCGCCAGAGGCUCGGCUCGCGCGGCGCGGCCGCUGCGACUUCCUGGAGUUCUGCCUGCCGGGGGCGCGGGCGGGUGUGUGAGAGAGAAGGCGAAGGGAGCCGCGGGGUGGGAGAGGAGGGAGUCCCGGCGGGAGGGCGGGGGAGAGACUGGCGGGAGGGGGGCUCCACGGAGCUCCAGCCAGGGCCGCGGUGCGCCUGCACGUCACGGCUACUCAAACCCAAGCACGUCCCGAAAGCGGUAUUUUCUGCGUCUGGGAGGUUUUUGCAUCCUCAGUUCCCACCGCUGGGGCUGGCGGCGACCAACUAUAGUCAUUUUGCUUCCUGGACAGUUGGCUGACGAAGUGUCUGAUAAACCAGCUUCAGAUACAUGCUACAAAAGAAGUCCCACUUUAUCAUUAAUGAUGACAAUAACUAAAGCUGCCAGGAACAGCACAUCUGCUGAGCUUUAUCAACACCAGAUUCUCUCAUUUUGCCUUCUGGAUCUCCAUGCUUUUUUAUACCAACAAACAAGAGGAAGAAUAUUCUCUACCCACUUCCUUGACUGAAGCCUGCUCUUUUAUGAAGACAUGGCAUCUCUUCCAACAGUGUCAAACAGAUGCAAUUUAUGUGUCUGCUGCUUCCAUACCCUGAUUAAAUGGGUCAGUGGCAGAAUCAGUAUCCUUAAUCUCCCCUUUGGUUUCAAAUAUGUACUCCUUAUUUCAGUUUCAUGCUCACCUUUCUGUAGAGAUCAAGGCAUCUGCCUUUGCAGCUUUACCUCUUCCUCCAGGUUAUAGUUUCCAUUCAUGGAAUCUUUUAGCUGCUGGCUGGCAGUUUUCCUGUCUACCUGACUUCCAUUCCUCUUCUCAUGACUUCAGCUCCCAUGCAGAUGUCUUAUCCUGACACACUAGCUUCUCCAUUCUAUUUCUGUGUGUGUGUGUCUGUGUGUUUCCCUACUAGUUCAUCCACAUUUCCCUAUGGUCUUUUUUUUUAUGUUUUAUUUUUGCAUAUGUGUAUUUCCUUUUAUUUUUUUAAUUAUUAUACUUUAAGUUUUAGGGUACAUGUGCACAAUGUGCAGGUUAGUUACAUGUGUUUACAUGUGCCAUGCUGGUGUUCUGCACCCACUAACUCGUCAUCUAGCAUUAGGUAUAUCUCCUAAUGCUAUCCCUCCCCCCUCCCCCCACCCCAUAACAGGCCCCAGAGUGUGAUGUUCCCCUUCCUGUGUCCAUGUGUUCUCAUUGUUCAAUUCCCACCUAUGAGUGAGAAUAUGCGGUGUUUGGUUUUUUGUUCUUGUGGUAGUUUACUGAGAAUGAUGAUUUCCAAUUUCAUCCAUGUCCAUACAAAUGACAUGGACUCAUCAUUUAUUAUGGCUGCAUAGUAUUCCAUGGUGUAUAUGUGCCACAUUUUCUUAAUCCAGUCUAUCAUUGUUGGACAUUUGAGUUGGUUCCAAGUCUUUGCUAUUGUGAAUAGUGCCGCAAUAAACAUACGUGUGCAUGUGUCUUUAUAGCAGCAUGAUUUAUAGUCCUUUGGGUAUAUACCCAGUAAUGGGAUGGCUGGGUCAAAUGGUAUUUCUAGUUCUAGAUCCCUGAGCACCCAUAU
rnacentral:lncRNA from 1 species